ACGAACGCUGGCGGCGUGCCUAAAACAUGCAAGUCGAACGGGGGAGCAAUCCCCAGUGGCGAACGGCGGAGUAAUACAUGAACAACGUGCCCUGAAGACCGGGAUAGUCAGUGGAAACGCUGGGUAAUACCGGAUGUGGCCGUCUUGUGGCAUCACGAGACGAUUAAAUGGUUUUUCGCUUCAGGAGCGGUUCAUGGCCUAUCAGGUAGUUGGUGAGGUAACGGCUCACCAAGCCUACGACGGGUAGCGGGUCUGAGAGGACGAUCCGCUCGAGUGGGACUGAGACACGGCCCACACACCUACGGGUGGCAGCAGUUGGGAAUCUUGCACAAUGGGGGAAACCCUGAUGCAGCGACGCCGCGUGGAGGACGAAGGAUCUAGGUCUGUAAACUCCUUUUUCACGGAAAGACUUAGGACGGUACCGUGAGAAUAAGCCCCGGCUAACUACGU
rnacentral:rRNA from 1 species